rnacentral:rRNA from 1 species
CCUGAGUACGACGGAGCACGUGAAAUUCCGUCGGAAUCUGGGAGGACCAUCUCCUAAGGCUAAAUACUCUCUAGUGACCGAUAGUGAACCAGUACCGUGAGGGAAAGGUGAAAAGUACCCCGGAAGGGGAGUGAAAGAGAACUUGAAACCGUGUGCUUACAAGUAGUCAGAGCCCGUUAAUGGGUGAUGGCGUGCCUUUUGUAGAAUGAACCGGCGAGUUACGAUCUGAUGCAAGGUUAAGCAGAAAAUGUGGAGCCGUAGCGAAAGCGAGUCUGAAUAGGGCGAAUGAGUAUUUGGUCGUAGACCCGAAACCAGGUGAUCUACCCUUGGUCAGGUUGAAGUUCAGGUAACACUGAAUGGAGGACCGAACCGACUUACGUUGAAAAGUGAGCGGAUGAACUGAGGGUAGCGGAGAAAUUCCAAUCGAACUUGGAGAUAGCUGGUUCUCUCCGAAAUAGCUUUAGGGCUAGCCUCAAGUGAUGAUUAUUGGAGGUAGAGCACUGUUUGGACGAGGGGCCCCUCUCGGGUUACCGAAUUCAGACAAACUCCGAAUGCCAAAUAAUUUAACUUGGGAGUCAGAAUGUGGGUGAUAAGGUCCAUAUUCGAAAGGGAAACAGCCCAGACCACCAGCUAAGGUCCCAAAAUAUAUGUUAAGUGGAAAAGGAUGUGGCGUUGCCCAGACAACUAGGAUGUUGGCUUAGAAGCAGCCAUCAUUUAAAGAGUGCGUAAUAGCUCACUAGUCGAGUGACACUGCGCCGAAAAUGUACCGGGGCUAAACAUAUUACCGAAGCUGUGGAUUGUCCUUUGGACAAUGGUAGGAGAGCGUUCUAAGGGCGUUGAAGCAUGAUCGCAAGGACAUGUGGAGCGCUUAGAAGUGAGAAUGCCGGUGUGAGUAGCGAAAGACGGGUGAGAAUCCCGUCCACCGAUUGACUAAGGUUUCCAGAGGAAGGCUCGUCCGCUCUGGGUUAGUCGGGUCCUAAGCUGAGGCCGACAGGCGUAGGCGAUGGAUAACAGGUUGAUAUUCCUGUACCACCAUUAUUCGUUUUAAGCGAUGGGGGGACGCAGUAGGAUAGGCGAAGCGUGCUGUUGGAGUGCACGUCCAAGCAGUGAGAUUGAGUGUUAGGCAAAUCCGGCACUCUUAAGAUUGAGCUGUGAUGGGGAGAGGAACUUGUUCCUCGAGUCGUUGAUUUCACACUGCCGAGAAAAGCCUCUAGCUAGAAUAACGGUGCCCGUACCGCAAACCGACACAGGUAGUCAAGAUGAGAAUUCUAAGGUGAGCGAGCGAACUCUCGUUAAGGAACUCGGCAAAAUGACCCCGUAACUUCGGGAGAAGGGGUGCUCUUUGAGGUUCACGCUUCGAAGAGCCGCAGUGAAUAGGCCCAAGCGACUGUUUAUCAAAAACACAGGUCUCUGCUAAACCGUAAGGUGACGUAUAGGGGCUGACGCCUGCCCGGUGCUGGAAGGUUAAGAGGAGUGGUUAGCGCAAGCGAAGCUACGAAUCGAAGCCCCAGUAAACGGCGGCCGUAACUAUAACGGUCCUAAGGUAGCGAAAUUCCUUGUCGGGUAAGUUCCGACCCGCACGAAAGGCGUAACGAUUUGGGCACUGUCUCAACGAGAGACUCGGUGAAAUCAUAGUACCGGUGAAGAUGCCGGUUACCCGCGACAGGACG